AAAUUAUAUAAAAAUACAAAGCAGUCAUUACAGGAUCCUGGAGUCUGUCCUUCCAGUGGAGAAGAGCGGCAUAACAGAACGCAGAUGAGAAUUUGACGGUGCUCCUUCGACCGAGUGAAGCACAGAUGAUGGAAAAGAGACCAUGCCGUGCAGAUGUGGGCUGACGUCCCCCAGUGUCUCCAUCCCCCCCGGCAGGUCCUGGUUUGUGUGAUUGACAAUGGUGGAGGAGUCCAGCAGCAAAGGGUUUCUGACCUGCAAACACUUCUCACGACACACAUGCGGUUGUGUGUGACGUUCAUGUGUUUCUCCAGGUACCAGCGGUUAUUGAACGUCUUCGGGCACCUCAGACAGCUGAAGCUCUCAAAACCGUCCUGAUCCAGACGUUCCUCGCUAGGAUCACGAUCCGUCUCUUGCCUUGCUCUCGCACAGCUCCUCUUGGAGACCAGUGGAGCAGAGGCCCGGCUCUUCAUUUCCGACAAAAAAACAGACUCGCCUUCAUCCUCGCUAGUGCCUUCAAGUCUCACAUCAU
rnacentral:lncRNA from 1 species